CAUCUCCUCCUGUUGUUCAUGGAAUCCUUCAUCUGCUUCAGAAUGCUCUGGGUUUUCCUCCUCCACAUCGGCAUCAUCAGCGAGUAUCCGGACGGCCUCUCUGUAGUCAGUCACACCUUCUCCUGUUUGGGAGUAGAGGUGGCUUGUAGUCGUCAAAGAUUCCUCUGCCCAAGACCUCAUUUGCCAACUUGUUAACAGAGUUCUUAAGCGGUCCACUGUAUGUCAUUGGGGCGUCUUCUUUGACAUCAACUACUGCUGAACUCUUCCGGUCAGAAUUCCAUCUGAACAGACCAUCCAAUAGGAAUACCUGGAAAUUGAUGUCCUUUGCCAGGGUUCCUAUAAAAAUAUUUGAAUAAUUAAAUAAAUUUCAUUGACAAUUAUAGGUGUUUGAUCUUUAUAACAUUGAAUAAAAAAAAAUGUUCAUAUUAAUGAAAA